rnacentral:misc_RNA from 1 species
GUAAUCUAGGUAUUUUAGUAGAGAUUUAUCAUGAUUAUUAUUGACAACUGAUAAUUUAAUAAGAGUUUUGAGAAUUUUGUUGCUUUUCCCUUUCGAGUAUUUUUGGUUCUACAUCAAAAGAUAUCGCUCAAAACAUGUUUUCUAGACUUUUGAAGGACCAGACUAAUGGGUUCUGUAAAAUAGAAUGAGCAAAGUUUUGGAAUUGGGAAAAGGAGGACCAAAGAUCUCAA